ensembl:lncRNA
GUGGCCUUCCAGGUCAGCUUCAAUAUCGUUUCCAGUCCCCUUAGUUGGCUUUAAGUCCUUGAAUAGUCCUUGAAUGACCUUUAACGAUCUGGUAAAUUUUCAAAGAAAUUACAAGUUCCUAGAAACACAGAGAGGAAAAAAUACCAGAAACCCAGUUAUUUCUUGUUCUCUGACGUCUGAGCUCUGGGUAACCCCCACUCAGUUGGUGAUGAGGAAAAACAAGAAACAGAGAGAGAGCGUCUGCAAACCCGAUGGUGAAUCCAAGUGACCUGCUGACUGAACACAGCUGGAUGGGCAAGCAAGUGUGCCAGGAACUGACCCGUGGAGGUCUGCAGAUGGUGGUGGCUGGUGGGGCUGGGGAAGAGGGGGCUGGGAAGCUUUAGGAGGAGCGGCUAGAAGCCCCAUAAGACAGGAGAUGGAUCCUCACGACAAAAGCAGCCUGAUGCAAACAUGUCCUGGCCACGGUGCAGGCAGAGUAGAGGCACGCACAACUGGGGGCAGCGGGAGGAGGCUCCACAAAGGCCAACGUGUGGACAAGGUGUAGGGAAGCUCCAGGGAGCGACUGCUGGGGCAGAGGGUAGGGUGGCUGCUGGAUCCAGAGGGAGAAGCCCUUCUGCAGAGACAGGACCUCAGGCACAGGAGGCAGAUGGAGGAGAAGCUACAACGAUUCCUCCCUCCCUCUCACUUCCCACACCCCCACACAGACAGCAAGAAGCUGGGGGCACCACAUGCUGCCAAUGUCUCCAUGCAGGACAUCUAAAGAAGCACUCCAAGGUCCCCAGCCCUGGUGAUUCAAACACAAAUCUAGGCACUGCUAGGGGCCUUGCGAGUAUAAUUAAGCCACUAAUCUGCUGACAUUAAAAUAGAAAGAUAAUCCUGGAUUAGCCAGGUGGACCCAAUAGGAAGCAGAAAAAAAAGAGAAGAGAGAAGCAGGAGAGACACCAAGCAUAGAGAGAGUUUGAGAUAACCUGGCUAGUUCUGAGGCAUAGGGCCACACACAGGGGCUAGAGACCGGCCUCCAGGACAAAGAGCAGCUCUGCUGUGGCUCAGAGGACACCAGCCUCGGGCAGGCGCCCACAAGGAGCUGCAUCAUGCCAGGAACCUGAGUAGGUCUAGAGGCAGAUUCAUUUGAGAGCCUCCAGGGAGGAACACAGCCCAGCCUUCACCUCUACUUGAGACUGGUGAGACUCGGAGCAGAGGAGCCCCUGAGCCACUCUGUGCCAGGCUUCUGACCCACAGUUCCUGUGGGUCACAUAAUAAAUCUGGUUUGUUUUAAGCCACCAUGUGUGCAGUAAUUGGUUAUGACAGUAACAGAACACUAAUACAGGCCCCCAGAAGUGUGAGCUGGAUCAAAGUGAAACAGCAGGAUUGCAUAGAAGCAGCACUGAUGCCUGAAUCCACGCCAAGACAAGGCUCACCCUGUGGGUGUUGAGAAGGGAAGACAGGCAGAGGGCAGUGGCUCACACCUAUAAUCCCAGAAUUUUGGGAGGCUGAGGCGGGAGGAUCACUUAAGCCAAGAAGUUCAAGACCAGCCUGGGUAACAUAGCGAGACACUGUCCCUACAAAAA